rnacentral:rRNA from 1 species
AGUGAACGCUGGCGGCAGGCCUAACACAUGCAAGUCGAGCGGUAGCAACAUAAUAGCUUGCUUUUACAGCGGGCGACUGGUGAAUAGGUCCUAGAAACCUGCUAGUCUGCGUGUUCUAAGGGUCGAAAAUGGACGCUAAUACGCCAAACCUCCUACGGAACUAAGGGGGAAACCAGCGGUCCUUGGGCUAUCACAUGAGCCUAGGUCGCAUUGUCUAGUUGGCGGGGUAAUGGCUAACUAACGCGACGAUCCGUAACUGGUUUGAGAGGAUGAUCAGUCACACUGGAACUGAGACACGGUCCAGACUCCUACGGGAGGCAGCAGUGGGGAAUAUUGGACAAUGGGCGAAAGCCUGAUCCAGCCAUGCCGCGUGUGUGAAGAAGGUCUUCGGAUUGUAAAGCACUUUUGGUUGGGAAGAAAGGCAGUAAAUUAAUACUUCGCUGUUUUGACGUUACCGAAAGAAUAAGCACCGGCUAACUCUGUG